UCGCGGCGGUGUGCGCAGAAGGGUCUGGGCUCGAGCCUGCCUGGAGCCGCCGCCGGUGCAGAUCUUGGUGGUAGUAGCAAAUACUCCAGCGAGGCCCUGGAGGACUGAUGUGGAGAAGGGUUUCGUGUGAACAGCCGUUGCACACGAGUCAGUCGACCCUAAGCCCUAGGAGAAAUCCGAUAUAAACGGCGAUGGGAAACACCCAUUGAUCGGGCGAAAGGGAAUCCGGUUCCUAUUCCGGAACCCGGCAGCGGAACCGUUGUUUGUCGGGCCCUCACAAGGGGUUCGUCAGGGCAACCUAAAAGGGCCCGGAGACGCCGUCGGGAGCCCCGGAAAGAGUUUUCUUUUCUGCAUGAGCGUUCGAGUUCCCUGGAAUCCUCUCGCAGGGAGAUAGGGUUUGGAACGCGAAGAGCACCGCAGUUGCGGCGGUGCCCGGGAAUUCCCGACGGACCUUGAAAAUCCGGGAGAGGGCCACGUGGAGGUUCGCGCCGGCUCGUACCCAUAUCCGCAGCAGGUUCCAAGGUGAAGAGCCUCUAGUC
rnacentral:rRNA from 1 species